AGCUGAAUAAAAGCUUUAGAGUAUCACCUUAAGCUUGUCUGACAUGAUAAAUAACAAAUGACACUUUUUCUUCUUUCUUCAGAAUUGUUGACUUGGAAGUUGAACAAAACCAGACGCAGGAAGAAGCUGUUCUCUCUUCUGGCUUAUGUGUACUUUGUCCAAGUUUAGUAUUUUGUUAUAGCCUCCUGCCUUCACCCCCAUCCCCUGGAAGCCUCACUCUUGUAAAGCCCAAGCGUGUCCAAGACUGCAAUGAAAAGUGGAGAUUGUGAACUGUGCCCCCCAGCAAGACAGCAGGAAUCAAAAGCCCCUGGAAAAUUGGAGUGUGGCAGCAUCUGCCAUCUGCAGUAAUAUUCAACAUCAGCUCACUGCCUCAGGAUGUCAUGCCAGACUGUGAGAGAAGUGAUAUCCAUCUGUGAAAGCUGCCUGACUGGCACAAUGUUGACUUCAGCUGUUGGUCCUGCAGAGGUUAAAGCUUACUUCAUGGUACAUGGUUGUGGAAGAGUUUCCCUUGAAGAGCUCAUCGACAUCAGCUAAAUGUCAUAUGAGUUGCACUGCCAUGGGUUUUAAAUGUGCUUGUCAGUCUGGAAAUGCAAUGUCUUGUGUUUCUAGUGUUGGGUACUAAGGCCUACGUGUCUGAAGUUAACUAGAUAACGAUUCCAGAUAAAAUAAUUGUUGAACCCACUUUUCAGCUGGGAGAAAACUAAGUAGUUUGUGUGAUCUCCUUCGAACUUAGAGAGAAGGUAGCAUAUGUGGAUAUUUUCUUACAUAAUGAAAUCUCCAUAUAUAUUUGUUACAUUAUUAUAAACGGAUGAUUCUCAGAAAAUUUCAAGAUGCUGCUAAUAUGGUAAGAUUUAUACACUGAAGGUGCAGGUUUUAAAGGAUCACAGUCUAGGUUUA
ensembl:lncRNA